rnacentral:rRNA from 2 species
UGACCCCAGGUCAGGCGGG